AACCAGCUGAGCCCCAACCCUUGCAGCUGGGACAGGAGACCAGCCCCGGGUUCCCCAGGUGUUCCCAUUCAGAGAUCAGGAGAGAACACAGACAACUCACCAUGGAGUUUGCACUUGGCUGGGUUUUCCUUGUUGCUCUUUUAUAAGGUGUCCAUUCUGAGGUGCAGCUGGUGGAGUCUGUGGGAGACCUGGUGAAGCCUGGAGGGUCCCUGAGACCCUCCUGUGCCGCCUCUGGAUUCACUUUCAUUGACUAUGGCAUGAGCUGGGUCCGCUAACCUCCAGGGAAGGGGCUACACUGGGUCGCAACUAUUAGCUAUGAUGGAA